rnacentral:rRNA from 1 species
AUGAUGAAGCAGCAGCCAACAUGGCAAGAAGUCAGCGACUCCUCUCAUACUGGCCGAGUCUACGUACCGUCGGCGCGUUCGGCCGGCGGCAAUGGCGUCGUCUCCUCCGUACCGGUUCCCCGCACUCUGCGAGGAGGAGCCGACGCGACGCUCCGCCAGGCAGUCAUGCGGGACAUGCGGCGCGUCGGCGGUGGCCAACUGCGUGGCACUGUGCUGCUGCCCGUGCGCCGUGGUGAGCUGCUUCACGCUGGCGCUCGUCAAGGCGCCCUACAUGGCGGGCCGGCGAUGGGUCAGGCGCGCCAAGACGCGGCGUAUCAGCAGGGGCGUGCUGCGGAAGACGAGGCGCGUCCGGAGCCUGGACGACCAGCUGUACCAGGUGGAGGGGCUGGGCGGCGGUGGCGCCGCCGCGCAGGCGAGCAAGGAGGAGGACUGGGGCGGGCUGGGCAGGGCUGCCGCCUCGGGCUGGUGGGAGAACACCAACGAUGUAAAUUUGCUCGGGGAUGGCAGGAUGAGGGUGAGCGUGACGGAGAAGGCGUGGAUGGAGAUGUACGACGUCGGCCUCUGGGGCUUCGGCCGGCUGUCCUUCUCGCUCGCCAGAGACGCCGCGCCCUCGCCCGCCGCGCAGGUGGUCAGAGACGACCCACAGCCCCAGGAGGAUGGCACUGUUGCUCCCGGGCGGUGACAGAGUUUGUGCGGCAUGCCACGCCUUGGCUAAUUGUUUUGUGCUACAAACUUUGUUGCACGCGGUGA